rnacentral:rRNA from 1 species
GAGGUUUGCAGCGUACUCUCUGGAGUGACGGGUACACUGUGGGGACCGCCGCUGCUAAAGCGGAGGAAGGAAUGGGCAACGGUAGGUCAGUAUGCCCCGAAUGUCCCGGGCUACACGCGGGCUACAAUGGUUGGUACAAUGGGUAUCUACCCCGAAAGGGGAUGGAAAUCUCCUAAAGCCAAUCUUAGUUCGGAUCGAGGGCUGCAACUCGCCCUCGUGAAGCUGGAAUCCGUAGUAAUCGCGUUUCAAUAGAACGCGGUGAAUACGUCCCUGCUCCUUGCACAAAAGGUUCAGGUUUCUGUACUAUUUUGUUACUGAAUACUCGGCCGGACAUGUCCAUUCCCUGCUCCUUGCACAAAGGUU